ACAGUCAUAUCACAUUGAAACACCAGUUCUCAUAUGAUCACUGAAGUUGAGCAACAUUGAGCCUGGUCAGUACCUAGAUGGGUGACCACUUGGGAAUACUAGGUUUUGUAGG